GAUGAACGCUGGCGGCGUGCCUAAUACAUGCAAGUCGAGCGAACGGACGAGAAGCUUGCUUCUCUGAUGUUAGCGGCGGACGGGUGAGUAACACGUGGAUAACCUACCUAUAAGACUGGGAUAACUUCGGGAAACCGGAGCUAAUACCGGAUAAUAUUUUGAACCGCAUGGUUCAAAAGUGAAAGACGGUCUUGCUGUCACUUAUAGAUGGAUCCGCGCUGCAUUAGCUAGUUGGUAAGGUAACGGCUUACCAAGGCAACGAUGCAUAGCCGACCUGAGAGGGUGAUCGGCCACACGGGGACUGAGACACGGUCCAGACUCCUACGGGAGGCAGCAGUAGGGAAUCUUCCGCAAUGGGCGAAAGCCUGACGGAGCAACGCCGCGUGAGUGAUGAAGGUCUUCGGAUCGUAAAACUCUGUUAUUAGGGAAGAACAUAUGUGUAAGUAACUGUGCACAUCUUGACGGUACCUAAUCAGAAAGCCACGGCUAACUACGUG
rnacentral:rRNA from 1 species